rnacentral:lncRNA from 1 species
GUAACUACGCGAGAGCGUGCCUGCAAAUGCCCGCGUGCACAAGAAUGUGGGCCACAGUGGAACGGUACACUGGGGGAAGAAGCCACAGAGGAGGACGUGGAGCCUCAGAGGGAGUAAGUGACCUGCCCAGGCUCCCACAGUGAGCACAUGGUGUCCGGAGGCUUCUGCUCCUGGGAGGAUCAGAAGCUGUUAGGAGGCGCUUCCUGACACCUCCAGAGCUAUGGAGAGCUUCCCGCACCCCUCAGGUAUGCAUGUGCACACACGUGCCACACACUUACACAUGCACACACACAUGGGCAAGCAAACAGGCACGAGCUGCCGGGCCACAGAGCUAUCCCACUGUCGGGCAGGGACCAGCCAAGCAGCUGUUGAACCCAGCAGUGUCUGCUGAGUGAGGACCCCAAGACGGCUCCCUCAGAGAGAAGCAGGGGGCAGUUUCUCUCCAAAACCUGAGGCGUGGCCCAGCGCAGGCCGGUUCUUGGGUCAUGUCCGUUUCCUCUUCUUGCCCUCUAAAUUCCUCUGCACGACUCACACCAUUUCCUUGACCAAUUCACUGGUUUCCUUGAGUCCCUCUAGGCCAAGGUCUCCCUAGAGGUUUCUCCCUAGGUUCCUCCUCCUGCGUGCCCUGACUGUGCUUUCCCAUGGCUUCUCACGCUUCCCUCCUCCGCGGGUCCCCCUCCCACUCUCCCUCCAGUGUCACGUCCUGCCUGGACCCUGCCCUGCACACUGUCUCUGUAAUCCUCAUGCUUGGGGAUGGCCAAGGGCAGAGGAGCUGAUGGCUGUGCACCACGGCCGGGCCAGGCACUUUCACCAGCCUCGGCUCCUGUCAUCAUCCAUCUUUGCAUCUACCCUGAGGGAGGCGUCAUUGUCCCCAUUUUCCAGACAAGAUGCUCCCACUCAUGAAGUGACUUGCUCCGGUGCACAGCACUCAGUAAGUGGCUCAUCUGUGGGGCAACGCACAUCCGUGAACUUACUGCAUCAUCACAGUGACUCCACGAAGCACAGCUCUGUUUUGCGGAAAGAAAAGUGAGCUCAAGGAGGAGAAAUGACGUGCCCAGUCCUUCAGCUGGCAGGUGGGAGAGCCAGGGGGCUGUGUGGCCCUGCAGCCUGGGUUCCCUUCUCCACCUGCCUGUCUCAGCCACUGAGCCAGGCAGGGGGGCAGAUGGAGAGGGACACUGGGGGUGGGUGUCAGGGGUGUUUGAGGGA